rnacentral:rRNA from 1 species
GUUAGGAAUAUUGGACAAUGGGCGAAAGCCUGAUCCAGCCAUGCCGCGUGAACGAUGAAGGCCUUCGGGUUGUAAAGUUCUUUAGCCGAUGAUUAUAAUGACUGUAGUCGGAAAAUAAGCCCCGGCUAACUUCGUGCCGGCAGCCGCGGUAAUACGAAGGGGGCGAGCGUUAUUCGGAAUCACUGGGCGUAAAGCGUGCGUAGGCGGUUUUGUAAGUUAGGAGUGAAAGCCCAGGGCUCAACCUUGGAAUUGCUCUUAAAACUGCAAGGCUCGAAUCUCGGAGAGGAUAGCGGAAUUUCCAGUGUAGCAGUGAAAUGCGUAGAUAUUGGAAGGAACACCAGUGGCGUAAGCGGCUAUCUGGACGAGUAUUGACGCUGAGGCACGAAAGCGUGGGGAUCAAACAGGAUUAGAAACCCGGGUAGUCC